CCCAAAAAUUAAAAAAAAUAGUAAAAAAUCAAAAACCUAAAAAAAAUCUCUGCAACAUCAAACGACGCUGCUCACCUUCAAAGAACGGUCUAUUCUCUUCAUAGCAAGUUUCUUCAUAUCGAUUUUCAUUAUCCAACCCAAAAAUGUUAAUCUGCUCAACUUUAAGGAACGGUCUAUUCUCUUUAUAGCAAGUUUCUUCAUAUCUAUUCUCAAUAUCCAACCCAAAAAUGUUUAUCCUCACAAAGAAUUAUUAUCCAACUAAAAAUGUUAAUUCUGCUCAACUUCAAGGAACAGUCUAUUCUCUUUAUAGCAAGUUUCUUCAUAUCAAUUUUCAUUAGCCAAUCCAAAAAUGUUGAUCCUCACAAAGAAUUGUUAGGACAAAACACACAUAUACGAUCUAUUUUGACUGCACAGUAAAUUAUAUUUUGAUACUAACUCA